rnacentral:rRNA from 1 species
UGAACGCUGGCGGCGUGCUUAACACAUGCACGUCGAACGCAGCAUUUCAGACAGAUUACUUCGGUUUGCAGUCUUUUAUGACUGAGUGGCGGACGGGUGAGUAACGCGUGGGUAACCUGCCUCAUCCAGGGGGAUAGCAGCUGGAAACGGCUGGUAAUACCGCAUAAGCGCACAGUACCACAUGGUACAGUGUGAAAAACUCCGGUGGUAUGAGAUGGACCCGCGUCUGAUUAGCUUGUUGGCGGGGUAACGGCCCACCAAGGCGAGGAUCAGUAGCCGAGCUGAGAGGGGGACCCGACACAUUGGGGCUGAGACACAGCCCAGACUCCUACGCAAGGGAGGAGUGGGGAAUAUUGCACAAUGGAGGAAACUCUGAUGCAGCGGCGCCGGGUAAGUGAAGAAGUAGUUCGCUAAGUGAAUCUCUAUCAGAAAGGAAGAUAGUGACGGUACCUGACUAAGAAGCUCCGGCUAAAUACGUG